UACGUAGGGUGCGAGCGUUAAUCGGAAUUACUGGGCGUAAAGCGUGCGCAGGCGGUUCGUUGUGUCGGCGGUGAAAGCCCCGGGCUCAACCUGGGAAUGGCCGUUGAAACUGGCGAACUGGAGUGUGGCAGAGGGGGGUGGAAUUCCAGGUGUAGCAGUGAAAUGCGUAGAGAUCUGGAGGAACACCGAUGGCGAAGGCAGCCCCCUGGGCUAACACUGACGCUCAUGCACGAAAGCGUGGGGAGCAAACAGG
rnacentral:rRNA from 1 species